rnacentral:rRNA from 1 species
CGGACGGGUGAGUAACACGUGGAUAACCUACCUAUAAGACUGGGAUAACUUCGGGAAACCGGAGCUAAUACCGGAUAAUAUUUUGAACCGCAUGGUUCAAAAGUGAAAGACGGUCUUGCUGUCACUUAUAGAUGGAUCCGCGCUGCAUUAGCUAGUUGGUAAGGUAACGGCUUACCAAGGCAACGAUGCAUAGCCGACCUGAGAGGGUGAUCGGCCACACCGGAACUGAGACACGGUCCAG